rnacentral:tRNA from 1 species
UAUUUGUUGGUGUAUAGGCACGAGAAGUUUUGAUCUUUUUAGAGGUGGUGUAAUUCCGCUACGAAUAA